UUUCCGUAGGUGAACCUGCGGAAGGAUCAUUACAGAGUUUUGAAUGAAGUUGUUCUGGUCUUUCGGGGCAAGUGAACGCUUCUCUCAAUCCAUCUUACACCUGUGCACCUAUCGGGGAAGACUUGGAUCUAAGUUGGGUCACGACGGCGAUCUACAGUCUCCUCUUUAUACCAAAUAACAGUUUUAGAAAGUCUUUUUUGCUUGAUGCAAACUUAAAUAAAUACAACUUUCAGCAACGGAUCUCUUGGCUCUC
rnacentral:misc_RNA from 1 species